rnacentral:rRNA from 1 species
UUGAAACCCACGGCAUAUAGCCACAAACUUCUAAUAGACAUCGUUUACKGCGGGGACUACCGGGGUAUCAAAUCCCGUUUGCUCCCCACGCCUUCGCGCCUCAGUGUCAGDDACUGUCCAGGUGGCCGCCUUCGCCACUGGUAUUCCUUCAGAUCUCUACGCAUUUCACCGCUACACCUGAAAUUCUACCACCCUCUACAAAACUCUAGUCAACCAGUUUCAAAUGCAGUUCCAAGGUUGAGCCCUGGGCUUUCACAUCUGACUUAAUUAACCACCUACGCGCGCUUUACGCCCAGUAAUUCCGAUUAACGCUUGCACCCUCCGUAUUACCGCGGCUGCUGGCACGGAGUUAGCCGGUGCUUCUUCUGCGAGUAACGUCACAGAUGAUGGAUAUUAACCAUCACCCUUUCCUCCUCGCUGAAAGUGCUUUACAACCCGAAAGCCUUCUUCACACACGCGGCAUGGCUGCAUCAGGGUUUCCCCAUUGUGCAAUAUUCCCCACUGCUGCCUCCCGUAGGAGUCUGGACCGUGUCUCAGUUCCAGUGUGGCUGGUCAUCCUCUAAGACCAGCUAGGGAUCGUCGCCUUGG